AGCCACCUUGUCAUGUGUAUUUGUAACAAGACUUUGGAUUAAAUGGGGCUGCUAAGAGGGGGGAAAUAUGAAGGAAUGAAGGGACAGCAUUGGAAUGGUCAGUCGGCAGUGGUUCUUAGGCAGCCUUAGGCACCACCUGCUCCAAGUCAGUGUUGAGUCUGCGUGCUGGGAUCCAGCCCACUCCUCGUCUUCCAUGCCAGGGCCCCCAGGCAGCCAGCACCAGCCCAAAGGCCACAAGCCUGGGGAAAGCCGAUGUCCUGUUAGGAUAGCUCCCAGGGACCUCUGACUCAAGGAAGGGUGACCUUUUGUUUCCUACUCUGCUGAGAAAUCACUUGACUCUUCCUCAAAUGAAUCACCUUCCUGAACCCCAGAUUCUUCUCCAGGAAUAUGGGGGCCAUCUUGUUAUGGGGACUAUCUUGUUUUCUAGUUUCCUGCCUACCCUAAAUACUUUGAGGCUGAAUUGCAGAUUUUCAGUCAUUUUACCUUCUCAGGUAAAAGCCAUGAAAGAAACAAGCCUAUUCCGCCAGCCAAAGCACUUGCCCAUUUGCUGGCUUCAUGAACUGCAGGUGGGAGGUAUGUGUUUGUGUUAAAAAACAGCAUGCACACGCGUGUGCACACACACGCACACACAUUCCCCUCUAUUUUAGGGAUGUGUGCUAAUUUUCUAAAUGCCUGCAAAGGGUUCUGAAAUGAUUCUGAGCAGAUUCGUCUAGGAUUUGAAAAUACUUGAAUUUGCACCAGAGCACACCCUUCCACUCAUGUUUCAGAAGGCACUAAUUGUCGCUUUGGGCGCCUCAGUGUCAUAACUAUAGAUAUCAUUCUUGGGAGUUGUUGGGGGGAAUAAUCCUAGCUACUUAAGGUUUCUGAUUGAUUCUUGAUAAAGUGAAGAUUAUUGUGUGUGGUGAAUGAGUUCAGUGAGUCCCCAUGAUGCAGUAGUUUUUUAAAAAAAAUUAGAUUAAUUAUAUCUUUUAUGGAAAAAAGUUGUUUUAGUUUGUCAGGUUUUCCCUCUUUGAACUGUUUUUAAUAUUUACAAACCUCACUUUAGCUCUAACAUUUUGUGUUUAGCCCUCAGCAAAAAGCACUUACUGUGGCAGGAAGAUUUUGCAGUAACGUGGAGAAAUCCCCAAGAUCAAGUGCUGACAAAUGUUGACAGCUUUAGCAGCGUACUGUGUAAUAAAUAACUCUGAGGGGGCGGCGGGGUGUCUGUGCAAGAAAGCGUCCCCUUAUGCACAUGUGGCGUCUCAUUCCCCAGAAAAGGACAGUAUCUGAUCUCACAGUGUUGAUCAGGCAACACUGCUGGGCUGGGGGUCGGAGUUGGGGUUAGCUCCCUGCACCAACACCUUCAGUACGAUCUGAGUUCGGAGCAGUGGCCCAGGCUAUGUGGCUGAGCACCAUGUCUGCCUCAGGGGCUGACCCUGCUAGCCUGUUAACAUCUCAUCUCCCCUCUGCUCCCACAGAGAGGGCAGCCAGGCCAGCUCACAGCUGGGUGUGCUGCCUGGCAGGUCUGUUGAGUGUGUUUGCAAAGUCAAAAUUGGGCUUAUCUCCCUUUGAGAGUUCCUUUUAAAAUAGGGCCACAAAGGCUCAGCCUUGCAUUAAAUGGGGCCCACUUGGAAGGACCACCCUGAGCUUUAUCAGAAAUCUCCUGCUGAGAAUCAUGUUACUUGGCCCCCAAAAAAGGCCACCUCUGAAGUGAAAUUGAAAACGAGAAUGCCAUUCAGGUGGGCUUGUUGCCCAAGUUUUCCCAGGUCACUUCAGUAAAACCACUUGAUCAUCUGGUGAAAGAGGAGGGGCAGGUGGUUGGCCUCCUGAGGAUAUGUUGUCAGCUGCAAGAAAUAGUUCUGAAGUCACUGAAACUAAAUGCAGAUGAAUGACCAAAAAGGAUGACACGCCAGAGAGUGACUUAGGAGUUAAUUUGCAUCUUUGUGAUAGACUCUUCAGAAUUAUUUAUGUCCCUGUAACUAUUUAAUAUCCUUUGUGCCAUGAGGCUCCUCGGUGGUUUUGUAAAUGUUCUCCUUGUAUUUAAUUAACUCCCACUAGAACCGGAAGUGGUGCCAUGGACACUUUCUAGUUGAUGUAAUGUGUGGUUGCACAUCUCAUCAUGUAUAGACCAUGUGGUGACAAAAGUUCUGGAGGGAAUAGGGUUGUCCACGGUGAAUGUGAAGACGCCUAUAUUUUUCUUAUAUUGCCUCUAUGCAAACAGAAGACAAUCUAUAUCUGGGGGCCUUAAAAUGACCUCUUGGCAAAUUGGAGGAAGCGUUUUUGCAUUUAAUAGUUUCAAUAGGGACCAAUAUCAGUUUGGUUUGGGGCAUUUGAAGGCUGAGCGACCUUAGUUUUUCUCAGUGUUCUGGUGGGACAAUAUUGGUUUUCACAUUUAAAGCAAAACUUGAAGAAACUGCAGUUGCUGUGUGCAUUCGGAUUUUUUCCUGGACACUGUACAGCUGAAACCCUCAAGCAUUUGGUGGAACCUCUGGUGGUUUUAGAUGGAUGCAAACACUGACAUCCUCAGAGAAAGUUUAUUUUGGCACUGAUUGGGUGGAUUUGGUAUUUUUUCACUCUGAUUCUCUUUGAUAUCCUUCUUUCACACUGCUGAAGGCAUGGGAGGGAAAUGUGUUUUCCCUGCCUUAAAGAGGGAUUACAGUCACGAAAGGCUGGAGAUACUUGUUGGCCCCACAUAAAGCUGGGAAGAGCAGACGCAGUUACAGAUUAAAAUCUCGUCAGAGAAGUUUGAUUUGAAGUAAACAGCCAUCCGAGGGAGGUGACUUUUGUCUACAGAAAAAGCAAGAAUGUGGCAGCCUGCACAGCCCCAAUACACAUCUUCCUUGGCAAUGUGAGCUGAAGCCAGCACGGGCAGGGCCGGCCCAGCUCUGAGGGCUUGGCCCUGGGAAGCCGGCGGCACCCCCAGCCCUUUGGGCCCUGUUACUGUCCCCUGGCAGGAAGGCUCACGCCUGUGGGCAGCCAGGGGAUGUGUCUGACCUCCACCCUAUGUCGGGUGCUUCUGGGACAGCUUUGUGACUCAGUUGAAAACAUUUUGGCUCUCUUCAAGUUUGCAGUUACAUCUGUGGUUCUUGGAAGCUGUCCUAGUAAGUCAGCCUUGAGUUAAGCCUGAGGAGACCAAGCUCCAACACCUUUGUGCACUCAUGUACGUGAAUUCUUGCUUGCAGUGAAUGAGCCCUGAACAACCCUAGUGGGUGUCAUGUCCUGCGUGUGGCCCAGGCGUACCUUUUCUUGUAGAUUCACAUGAGAAACCCGUCACCUAUCCAUGUGCUCUGAGAGGUGGACUGAGGUCUAAUCCCUUUCUAUGCCAGAUUUUCUGUGGGUUGGUCUUAGCACCUAGGAGAUGAAUAGAGCAUGGAGACACCUGAACAAUUUAGUGAUUCUGCAAGGCAGUGAUGAUUUAAGGGUUCCUAUUGUCUCAUCUGUGUUCAAAACAAAACAAUCAUGAAGUCUUUGUGCCACUGCCUGACUGUCAUCUUCUCCAGAUCUUGUUUACAGAGAAAUAAUGACGUUAAACAGGUAUCAGAAAGGGGAAAAAAGUUUCUAGGCCAAGAGCUGCUGGUGGAUUCUCUUGAGCAGAAUAACAAGUUGCUUCCUGCUCCAGAGACUGCCAUUAGCUUGUGAAGUCUCUAGGUGCCUUGUUAUUUCCUAGUGAAGUUGCAGAAUCCAGGGUUUUUUCCAGGUUUGUCUUAUUUGAUCAGCACCCAUGUCCAGGCCCAACAGCUUGGUAGGCUGGUGAGGUCCACACACGGCCAGGUCUGGGAGAUGAGGGAGGAAGCAGUGGCCUGGAACACCCCACCUGUCUGCUAUCAUCACUAGACAGCUCAGGCUGUCUUGGAAACAUGUACUUUGUUAACUGCCUUCCUGUCCUCUUGUCUUUGAAAGCUGUCUCACGUUCCACAGUCAGCUUGAGGGCAAGAGUGGGAUGCUGGGGACAGGUCUUCCCUGUGCUGUGGGUGAGCUCCUGGCAUCUGGCUCAGGAACAUGUGGGUCCAGCAGGUGACUCUGAAGCUGGCUUGGCUGCCAUCUCAGACAGGACACAGGCCUGACACCCUCAGCUUUCAGCUUUGUAAACUUCCCUGGCGCUUUAUAGAAUCUUGUGUUUCUUCUCUUCUCAGCAGAUAUCAUUCAAGUCACAAGAACUGUCUGGUUGAGAAAGUAAUUUAAAAUAUUUGACCUUUUAUGUUUCUUUCAUUUAGAAACUGUGAGAGAAAAUACCGUCAAUAUCUGUUAGGUCUAGAAAAAUUUUCUUCUGAAAGUGAAUGUUCUGUUUAAUUCUUCUUCAUGCAAGUGAGUAGCAUUUGUACACUCUUCAGCUUGAAGCGGAGUGGGUCCUAUUGUAUUUUCCCUUCUUUUGUCUGGAAUAUAUUCUUUUUCCAUUUGGAUGCAGUUUUACAGUUUUUCAACCUUUGGGAUUUUUUUUUCCUUUCUAGUUUUUCCUACUCCACAAACGUAACAGUAAGGAAAAAAUCACCCACAAACCUGCUGAGUUUGAAUCACUGGCAACUUGCCUAGAAAAGUUCAGAUGAUGGGUCCUUGAAUGGUGUAUCUAUUUCAUAGGGUAAGUUUGUUGUCUAUGUUUGUUUUUUUAUGCUGAGGCUUUAAUUCAGGUGACUUGCUAUCUAGACACCUGGGGUGGCGUGUUUUCUUUGGGAUGCAUAAUACACAAAGGCCAGGGAGCCUUUGGCUUGGACCCCAGGGAGCUAUUGGAACUUUUAAAGUUUGAGUUUAGGAGUAAGAACAUAUCUCAGACCACCUUAAUCAGCUUUGCUGAUGGGAUUUAGGGCCAGGUCAGAGUUUCUUUUCGUAACUGCCUGAAAAGAGAUGGUGUGAAACAAGAUUCUGAUAAUGGUUUGUGUGAGAUUUGAUCAUAGUCUAAAACUAUCACGUCUGAGUUGCCUUAGGAUGACGCGCGUAGGGAUGGUGAGGAGAUGAGGGGAGAGGAGGGAGACCUGCUGGUGCCCUUGCACCAGGGUGAGGCCUGACUCACGCUGCUUCCCCCCACAGGCCCUGCUUUGCUUGCCUCCUUUUUCCAGAAUCGAUUUUGCAAGUUUCAAGACUCUGUUCCCCUCUUUGCAGAAGUGAGGAAGGCAAAUACUCAGGGUUUGAAGGGCGACCUGGCUGGCCCGAGGGCUGGCAGAUGUGAGGGCAGGACACCUGGGAUGGACUCGUAGGCUGGCCCAGGCCCAAAGGGGGCUGCCUGUUCCCAACUCUUUCACUCUGUAACCCAUUUUAAAAUGAGUUUUUGAAUCUUGCCUCAAAUUGACCUACUUGGAUAAAAUCAGUGCUUUUCCUAACUUGAUUUCAUUUGACGUGGUUCCCUCUAAGAGAAAUGGUAGGAAUUGAAACUAUUUGUAUAUGUUGAAAUUUGUAGGGGUUCAGGAACCCAUGGCAGAAACACUAAACUAUUUAUUUACAGGUAUGACUAUUUUUUUUCAAAGUAGGCAAUUCUUUGUAUAUUUUAAGGCAAAUAAUCACUUCACCUCUGGUGCCUUCCAUGCGUCGCAUAAGCACUCGUCAAUCGUGGAAUUGGAAAAAAAGAUGUACAUUUAGUUAAACAAGAUAACACUAUUUUUGUAGCAUGAUUUUAGAUUGUGUCCUUUUAAUAUUAUUUUCAACAAUGGUAGUUUUGAGGUUUUGGCCAUUUUCUCUUUACACUUCGUAUGUAUUUUAAAGAAGAAAAAAAACAAAAAAAUUCCCUGGCUAUUCCUCUUUCCUCUCUGCUGCUGCUUCUCCCACAUCUUGUUCCUGCUUAUUUAAAUAGUCUGAGAGUAAGAGUAUAUUUCUGUGAAAUAAUUGUAAGUCAGUAUAAUUGCAUUUGGCAUUUUUUAACCACUUGCUCAGUUUGGAGCCACUGCUCACCUCAAACAGUACAAAGAAAGUGUUUCCAUAUUUUACAAACAAAAGAGUAGCAUCAGAGCCCUGACCUCCUGUCUUUGGGUGUAAAAUGGUGAGAGGCCGGUGUCCGGCUCCUUCCCCUGUGGUUUGGGCUGGUGAACUGAGCCCAAGCGUAUUCUCUGGCCCGGGCCCCUUCCAGAAUCAGUGCGGGCGUCCUGCAGAGGCACGGCCUUCCUGCCGCUGCAGAGUGGGAAGCUUCCCGGGGGACCUCAGCCGGCUCCGGGGCUCUCACCUUCCACUGGGAUCUCAGAUUGGUUCAUUGUGGAUGCUCUGGCUAGGCUCAGCGGCCUUUUCCAGGCUUCAGGCCUGAACAAAACAGGCUGUUUGCUGUGAGGAGCUAGAUGACACCAAGACACAGACACAUACUCUUCACCGGCUCCUUUUGCCUCUCCUUCCUGCAGGACGUGAGUUAUGUCUGGUCCCAAAACCCUUGAGUAAACUAGCUGAGCCAUUGCAAAUGAAGGUACAGAUGGAUUGAAACAUAAAAUUGUAGCUUUUGGUGUCCUUCUGAAGGGUCAGAAUAUGUAAUUAUUUGAUGACCAAGGAAGUCAAGUCAGAUGGCUAAGUAGUAACUUUCCAAUAUGAUUUCUCCGUGGUACCUCACCUGGCGGCACUUUUGGGGGGCAAUGUUAACAACUAUCACAUUUUACUUGUCAAGUUUCUUUCAUUUCAGCAGUUUAAAGACACAACUGUGGGCUUUCUGAGGCGAUGCCCGUUGGGCAAACAGGUUUAUGUGUUUGGUUUUUCAGCUGACGUGGAAGCCUUGGGUGGGCGCCCCCUGGCUGGCCUGGCUUUUGGGUUCAAGUCUGUAUGUCUGGAGUGGGUUGGGGCCCCAAAGCUUUGCUGCUAUUGAUUUGUCCCCGACAGCAGGCAAAGCCUCACAUUGCCCUCGAUUUUCCCCCUUUCAUUUGAAGGACCAAUUUUUCAUGGUACUUGUCUUGAUCUUUUUCAUAGUGUUCAAAUCUGUAUUUUUGUAUGUAGAGGGAAAUAAUUUUCUCAACACUAAUCGUUAAUAACUAUUGUAUUAAAUUGUCAUGAAGGAACUCUUGUUUAAUAAAUGGACGUGUAAGGA
rnacentral:sRNA from 1 species